CAGGCUGGGACAGGAUCAGGCUGGAGCAGGGUCAGGGUCAGGCUGGGACAGGGACAGGGUCAGGCUGGGGUAGGGUCAGGCUGGAGCAGAGUCAGGGUCAGGCUCACAGCAGGGCCAGGGUCAGGACCAGGGUCAGGCUCAAAGCAGGGUCAGGGUCAGGCUGGGACAGGGACAGGGUCAGGCUGGGGUAGGGUCAGGCUGGAGCAGAGUCAGGGUCAGGCUCACAGCAGGGCCAGGGUCAGGACCAGGGUCAGGCUCAAAGCAGGGUCAGGGUCAGGCUGGGACAGGGGCAGGGUCAGGCUGGGGUAGGGUCAGGC